GUUAAGGUUCCAAAAUUAUUCUUAAGUGAAAGUAAGGAUGUCUUUCUCUGAACCAAUCAGGAAAUAGGUUUAGAAACGGCCAUUGAAGACCUCGUAGUUAACAGAGCACUGAUUAGUAAAUCAGGAUGAAACGCCGAAAAUUGAACGGAUCUAAAUAGUAAACCGAAAC
rnacentral:ncRNA from 1 species